AGCGAACGCUGGCGGCAGGCUUAACACAUGCAAGUCGAGCGGGCAUCCUUGUGGUGUCAGCGGCAGACGGGUGAGUAACGCGUGGGAACGUGCCCUUCGGUUCGGAAUAACUCAGGGAAACUUGAGCUAAUACCGGAUACGUGCGAGAGCAGAAAGGUUUAUCUGCCGAAGGAUCGGCCCGCGUCUGAUUAGCUAGUUGGUGAGGUUAUGGCUCACCAAGGCGACGAUCAGUAGCUGGUCUGAGAGGAUGAUCAGCCACACUGGGACUGAGACACGGCCCAGGCUCCUACGGGAGGCAGCAGUGGGGAAUAUUGGACAAUGGGGGCAACCCUGAUCCAGCCAUGCCGCGUGAGUGAUGACGGCCUUAGGGUUGUAAAGCUCUUUUCUCCGGGACGAUAAUGACGGUACCGGAGGAAUAAGCCCCGGCUAACUUCGUG
rnacentral:rRNA from 1 species